CAUGCACCGGUGGGGUCCCUCAGCCUGGCAUGUGGGAUCGGGUAAAAACUUUCUCUCCGACAUUCCCUGAGGGGCCACGGAUUGCAAGAGGGCAUAGGCCAGGCUGAGGGACCCCACCGGUGCAUG
rfam:Myotis davidii contig64769, whole genome shotgun sequence.